UACAGAGGGGGCAAGCGUUGUUCGGAAUUACUGGGCGUAAAGGGCGCGUAGGCGGCCUUCUAAGUCGAACGUGAAAUCCCCGGGCUCAACCCGGGAACUGCGUCCGAUACUGGAAGGCUUGAAUCCGGGAGAGGGAUGUGGAAUUCCAGGUGUAGCGGUGAAAUGUGUAGAGAUCGGGAGGAACACCGGUGGCGAAGGCGGGUCUCUGGGCCGAAACUGACGCUGAGGAGCGACAGCGUGGGGAGCAAACAGG
rnacentral:rRNA from 1 species